rnacentral:rRNA from 1 species
UGGCUCACUAACNACNCUGGCGGCAGGCUUAACACAUGCAAGUCGAACGCCCCGCGAAGGGGAGUGGCAAACGGGUGAGGAACGCGUGGGAACAUACCCUUUCCUGCGGAAUAUCUCCGGGAAACUGGAAUUAAUACCGUAUACGCCCUACGGGGGAAAGAUUUAUCGGGGAAGGAUUGGCCCGCAGUUGGAUUAGCUAUAUUGGUGGGGUAAAGGGCCUACCAAGGCGACGAUCCAUAGCUGGUCUGAGAGGAUGAUCAGGCCACAUUGGGACUGAUACACGGNCCAACUCCUACGGGAGGCAUCAGAGGGGA